CCUAGUGGUGGUUUUAAACCACACUCAAGAUAAUAGGUUAAAGUAAAGGUUGUGUGUGAAAGCAGAUCAGCGCCAUCUGAUGUUUAUACUUAGGGGUGAGGUGCCUUAUUGCUAUUAUAAAUAGAAACAAUCUAAUGUCUUUCCAAAUGGCUUCAUCAUCUAUAAACUUGCCCUGAGUUAGAUGCGUUGCUUUUUCUGUUGAUAUGCUUGAUUGGUGUAUAUUUUCUUAACUGACUGGCGUGUGGAGAUUGUUUGUUAUAACAUACCAUAUCUCCGGAUGUUAGUGGUAUAUAAAGCCUAGCAGUUACGAACGUGGGGCCAGUAACCAAAACGUUGGUUAGAAUUCGCGAGCCGAAUAGAUGAAAAAUGAAUCGAUGUACCCUUGAGCAAGGCACUUAGCCCUAAUUGCUCCUGUAAGUCACUCUGGAUAACAACAUUUACUAAAAUGUACAUGUACAUUUCCAACUCUCUCACGUGUUGGAUAUUUGUUUUGAAAAUGGAAAAUGGCACAAGAAGAUGCACAAAGGUUGUCAUUUUUGUCUGGUGAGAUGAGCAAAGGGACAACCAAACUACGUUUGAUUCAGCUAGCAAUCUUACUGGAGCUAAAGAAGUCCAACAAAAUUGUUAAUUUUAGUAUUAGAUUGAGGACACAAUUUCAAUGGAUUGAGUCAAUUAAAUCACAAACAACGUCAAUUUGGUCUAUUUCCGGCCAUGGCGGAUAUGUCCAGAGUUGAGCAUGAAGGGUCAAUCAUGGCAUCGUGUGUGAAAUAUCUUGCACUGGAGAUGAUGGCGCUCAAAAUGUCAGCACAGGGGUGGGUGUCUUUCUACGUUGCCAGAUACCUGGUUUGGACCCAUUUUGGGAGCAGGUUUGCCUGUUGGGGAUAGGGCUGUCUACUGCCCCCGCUGGAGUAAUUGCGUGCCCAUAGUAAACAUAAUUUUUUUUUGUCAAAAGUUGCUAAUAUAUGCAAAUAAAAAAUAUUAUUGAAUAGAAAACACUCUAAAGCUUCUAAAACCGUUUAAAUUAUGUAUGUAUGUAAAGCAGAACUCUCAGGGCAGUCAUUCUCCCAAACUCUCUCUUGUCAUCAGAAAAGUUGGCCCAACUUUGACGUCAUCGCCCCCACCCUUCCCAAGCACUUACAGGUCUGGGAACAGUCUCUCUGUAUUCAGCGCGAUCUCAGCUUUCAAUGGGGCUUCUCAUUGUGAUAAUUGCGUGCUCAUGAGAGUUUUGGCGGGCCGAAACCUUUCGGUCACGCAAAAAAACAGGUCACUUUUAUGCGCGCUCUGCUCCGGUCCUGUCUUUUUUCCAAUAUCGAUUAUACAAUGCAUGCGUUUCUGUUCGUCCUCACGAUUGCUGUACACCUUUAUAACAUGUUAAAGCUUGAUUAUGAACUUAGUUUGAUAAGUUUAGUCGACAUAUAAUAUGUAAGUUUGACGUUUUGGUGCGCAUCCACUUGACUUUUGGCUACAUUUCAACCAAAAUGUGUCGUGUUUGAGAACCGAAAGACACAGACUGCAAAACUAAAGGCUGUUUUUGGUAAGUAUAAUUCCUUCCAGGUCUUCUGAUGGAAGAACAGCAAAGGUAAGGGAAUAUUUAUGUGGUAAAUUUGGGUUUCUGUGGACUCCAAGAUAGAGGAGCCAUAAUGCUACUUUUUGAGCGCCGACUCAUAGUAUAGCCUAGUGAACGAAACCUGUAACGUUAAAAAUAAAUGUAACACAGCGAUUGCAUUCAGAAGAAGUGUAUCUAACUAUAUAUAUGUAGAACAUGCAUAUUUAGUCAAAGUUUAUGAUGUGUAUUCCUUGUUAGCUGACGUUAUCUGCCGGAGCUAUCGUCAUUUCUCAGGACAUUUGAGUAGCAUUUUUUGAACGAUGCAUCAUUGUAAACAGAGAUUUAUGGAUAUAUAUAGCAUAUUAUUGAAAAAACAUAAAUGUACUGUGUAACAUGUUAUAUUACUGUCAUCUGAUGAAGAUUUCAAAAGGUUAGUGCAUUAUUUUUCUUUUAAUCCUGCGUUUGUUGAUUGCAUAUUUUUUUCAACUUGGCUAUGCAAAUUAGCUGUGUCUUCGGUGGUGGUUUGACAUAAAUAUGUGCUAUGUUUUCGCCGUAAAACAUUUUAGAAAUCUGACUUGCUGGGUAGAUAAACAAGGUGUUUAUCUUUCAUUUGAGCCAUUGGACUUGUUAAUGUGUGGAGGUUAAAUAUUUUUAGGAAUAUUUUUGCGUUCCAUGCGCCACCUUCCAGCUGAACGUGGGGGGGGUGUUCCCAAAUUGGAACCCUAGUCCCCUUCUGGUUAACAGCACCUAAUGUAGCCUAUUACUUCCAAGAUAUCUAGCUGUUCAAUAGCCUAACAUCUUGAUGUUCCGAUGCUCAGUUGGUAAAAUGCAUUGACCCAGUCCUAACUUCAGGAAGACACUGGUAUGAUGGCCAACCGCCCAAACAGGUUUUGGAACUACUGCUUUACUAGAUGCCCCUAGUUGAUGUCACCCCUCAGAUAACACACUAAACAUCAAACUGUGGUAGUUGGGGUGUUGUUUAUUAGGAUCAAACGGUGGGCGAUGGAGUUUCGUUUUUUUUAGGAUCAAACUGGGAGAUGGGGGUCAUGAUGUGGUUGUGAUAUUAGAUAGCCUAAUAUUGCUUAGCCACAGUUUUCUUUCCAUCUCCAUCAUACACCUGUUUAAGAAGGAAGACAUUUGAAAGUUAUAUACACUGCUCAAAAAAUAAAGGGAACACUUAAACAACACAAUGUAACUCCAAGUCAAUCACACUUCUGUGAAAUCAAACUGUCCACUUAGGAAGCAACACUGAUUGACAAUAAAUUUCACAUGCUGUUGUGCAAAUGGAAUAUACAACAGGUGGAAAUUUUAGGCAAUUAGCAAGACACCCCCAAUAAAGGAGUGGUUCUGCAGGUGGUGACCACAGACCACUUCUCAGUUCCUAUGCUUCCUGGCUGAUGUUUUGGUCACUUUUGAAUGCUGGCGGUGCUUUCACUCUAGUGGUAGCAUGAGACGGUUGCUAGUUCCUGCAAGAGGAAGGCAUUGAUGCUAUGGACUGGCCCGACCGUUCCCCAGACCUGAAUCCAAUUGAGCACAUCUGGGACAUCAUGUCUCGCUCCAUCCACCAACGCCACGUUGCACCACAGACUGUCUAGGAGUUGGCGGAUGCUUUAGUCCAGGUCUGGGAGGAGCAUGCACAGGCGUUGUAGGGAGGUCAUACAGGCACGUGGAGGCCACACACACUACUGAGCCUCAUUUUGACUUGUUUUAAGGACAUUAAAUCAAAGUUGGAUCAGCCUGUUGUGUGGUUUUCCACUUUCAUUUUGAGUGUGACUCCAAAUCCAGACCUCCAUGGGUUGAUAAAUUUGAUUUCCAUUGAUAAUUUUUGUGUGAUUAUGUUGUCAGCACAUUCAACUAUGUAAAGAAAAAAGUAUUUAAUAAGAAUAUUUCAUUCAUUCAGAUCUAGGAUGUGUUAUUUUAGUGUUCCCAUAUUUUUUUAUAGCAGUGUUGGUUAUUCACAGAGUGUACUACAAUUCUACAAAAUUAAAAUGAAUCCCUGAAGAAUAAACUGGAAUUUAUGGUGACACCUUUGGAAAAGGGUGAGAUCCGAAAAGAGUCAUUCUGAGUUGACCAACAAUAAUAAUUUUGAUUAGUUGGGAGUGUGGCCGCAAUCCACAGGGAAUAUCACUGAUUGUAAAAAUCCAAAAUACAACAUUAAAAUCUAAAUAGCUAGAAUACCAUGCAGAACAUUAGAUGAACACUCUGUUUUAACAUUUUCAUCUGAUUUCAUAUGAAAGAAACAGGGUUGAAAUAGUUCCUCUUAUUUCCAUUUCUCUUUCUGUUGUGUCUCCUGCCAGUGCAAUGAAAGAUGGGGAGACCUCUGCAUCAUCAGAGGAAGACUGAGGAAGAUGACUCAAUUGACUGUUCCAUCAAGGCGUGUGAUAUUUCAAGAACCAAUGCCACAUCAACCAGUGCAGGGGGUCCUGCAGAUGUUGACAAUGCAUGCAGAUGUUGACAAUGCAUUCUCCUGCUGUCCCAUAAUUAUCAAGGCAAGACCCAGAUGCACACAGGAGACCCAGAUGGUUGGAGUCUUACAAGGUUUGUUAAUCCAAAGGUGUAGGCAAGAGAAUGGUCGUGGACAGGCAAAAAGGUCAAAACCAGAGUCCAGGAGGUACAGUGGCAGACAGGCUCUUGGUCAAGGCAGGAAGAAUGGUCAGGAAGGCGGGUACAAAGUCCGGAAAACAGGCAAGGGUCAAAACCGGGAGGACUAGAAAAAGGAGACUGCAAAAGCAGGCGAAUGGAAAACUGCUGGUUGACUUGGAAACAUGCAAGACGAAACUAGGACAGAGAGACAGGCAACACAGGGAUAAAUAAACUGGGUAAACAAGCGACACCUGGAGGGGAUGGAGACAAUAACGAGGACAGGUGAAACUGAUCAGGGUGUGACAAUAGUAAUGAACGUGUCGGAACGAGGCAGGCAGGCAGGCAGGCUCUGUCAGCCAGUCGAAAUCAUGAAUCAGCUGGCAUCAUUUUGAUGGAUAUAUACAAAAAAUGACAAUUGAAAAGGUUAAAUGAAACUUAUAUCAUGUACAGUUUUUCCAGCUUCAGUUUGAAGUGAUUGUGUUACUGUAGCUGUAUUGUUGGUUAGCUUUUCGGAACAACAGUGUCGUGACGAGUGAACACAUUUUCUAUGCCUUAAUCGCGCCUCAUUGUUGUUCAUCCAAAUAAAUGUCACUAGAUAACAGUUUAAGCAAAUGAAGCUACUUUGCUGUUAUUCUGACUGCACUGUUUGACAUGGCUGUAAGUUAGCCGUAGUUGGCUAGUGUAACAGUAUGGCAAUGUAACAUUUAGAAUGAACGACUGACCAUAGAUCGCGUCCAUAGAUACAGAACAGAAAGACUGGGUCGCGUCUCUAGCAACCCUAGAUUAGUGUCGCGACUAUAUGUUGUGGAAGGAUGGAAUAGUAUGAAUAAAUAAAUGUAUCAAAAUAAAAAAUUUAAUAAAUAUGUAAAUCAUUAUUUGAAUAUGUUGGAAAUCCGUAAUAAAGUAAUAAUGCCCUCGAUGCUGAUGUUAGGAGAAUACGGUUUGCUGGCCCUGGACUUCGUUUCGGACCUAAUAACACCUCUGCCAAUAUAUCCUCCAAACACCGGCUUCUCUGGCAUUAUCACUUAAAUAAACAAUGGCGUUUAUGAAGGUUUGGUAUGAUAUGGCUAUUAUUAAGCUUUAGCUACUGCAUUUGUAUGAUAUGAAGGUAGUGCAACCCGGCACUGACUCCGACAGUUGAACUUGGGGUGAGGAAGACUGUUUCAGACCUACCAGAGUUACUCCUAUAAUCUAACAUUAUAAUGCUUAUCUUUAUAAAACAUAUUUUGAUCGAAAAUGUAUGAAUUAGCCUCUGUCUGUGCAUCUAUAUCUGUAUAGCAGACGCUAUAGCCUAUAAAGAAAUACAUUGUGAAGCAUUUGCCAGUGCGACACACUAGGCUGGUAGAGGUUAAGCGCUCAACAUGUAAACAACAUUUUGUUGUAUUAAAUCAUUAUAGUCUAUCAAUUGCGCAUAUAUACUCAGUGACUUAGAAUGAAGUAGAAAUUAAAUGGAAAAUGCUUUAUUAUGCUCAGUCUACAGUGACUUUGAAUUCAUUUUUAGAAACACCAGUUUGGCCAGGGUCUGUGGCUUCAGGCUCAUGCUAUGGAGAAUACCCGCUUGCAGAGCCACUGGAGAUGUUAAACACCCUUUUGGCCAUAAUUGAUUUUCGCCCAAUAGACCUGGCAUAUUGCAACUUUCAAGGGGCUUUGAUUUGGUUAUUUUGCCUAAAAAUAUAUAUAUAUAUAUGUAGGCCUAAAGGUUUUUCGGCAAAAUAACCAAAUCAAAGCAAAGCUCCUUGGAAGUUGGAAUAUGCCAAGUCUAUUGGGUCAAAAUCAAUUAUGGCCUGCCUAUUGUAUAAAGGAAACUUAAGAGAUAGGAUUUUUAGUUUAUAAAUACUUUGCUACAAUGACACUGUAAGAACAGACGCUGGAGUAGAGAAGCAGGGAUUCAAACAUUUAAUCGGAACAGCAUCAGCACAUGGGUAUACAAGGACAUAUGACAAUCAAUGCUGAAGCGGGGAACAGACAGAUAUAGGGGAGGAAAUUACAGAGGUGAUUGUGUCCAAUAAUCGCUUAUGCGCGUGACGGGGAAUGCAUGUGUGAGUAAUGAUGUUGUCCGGUGCCAAAUUUUCCUAAAGAAAACUCUGAAAUGGCAUAUUGGUUUUAUGAAGAUUUUAUAAUGUUCGCAUGAAAAUCUGUUGCCAAUUGGAUGAAAACCUAGCUAUAGACACCUUAGGCUCUGGCAAGUGCUGUAGUCCAAUUUCACUUUGAUUAUGCCGCCAUAUCAUGGUUUACCAGCAGCCCCAAACAUCUAAAGAAUAAGCUACCAGCCAAACAAACUUGUAAGAAUUGUAUUUAAACUUCCCCUGUCUGUGUGUCUAAAUGUGUCUAAAUGUGUCUAUUUGUGUAAGUGUAAAAGAGUCCCUGACUUUGUGAAAUCCCGGUCACUUUUAAAAAUGUUUGUGUAUAUGUAUUUUAACUGACAAAUAAAAUCAAUCAAUCCAAACUGCA